UACGUAGGGUGCGAGCGUUAAUCGGAAUUACUGGGCGUAAAGCGUGCGCAGGCGGUGAUGUAAGACAGAUGUGAAAUCCCCGGGCGUCAACCUGGGACCUGCAUUUGUGAUCUGCAUCGCUAGAGUACGGCAGAGGGGGAUGGAAUUCCGCGUGUAGCAGUGAAAUGCGUAGAUAUGCGGAGGAACACCGAUGGCGAAGGCAAUCCCCUGGGCCUGUACUGACGCUCAUGCACGAAAGCGUGGGGAGCAAACAGG
rnacentral:rRNA from 1 species